AGCAGUCGCCGCGGGAAUACGAAGGGGGCUAGCGUUGUUCGGAAUUACUGGGCGUAAAGCGCACGUAGGCGGAUAUUUAAGUCAGGGGUGAAAUCCCAGAGCUCAACUCUGGAACUGCCUUUGAUACUGGGUAUCUUGAGUAUGGAAGAGGUGAGUGGAAUUCCGAGUGUAGAGGUGAAAUUCGUAGAUAUUCGGAGGAACACCAGUGGCGAAGGCGGCUCACUGGUCCAUUACUGACGCUGAGGUGCGAAAGCGUGGGGAGCAAACAGGAUUAGAUACCCCUGUAGUCCCUGUCUCUUAUAC
rnacentral:rRNA from 1 species